rnacentral:sRNA from 1 species
GCCAGGUGUGGUGGCGCAUACUUGUAAUCCCAGCAGCUCGGGAGACUGAGGCAGGAGGAUUGCAAGUUUAAGACCAGCCUCAGUGACUUAGCAAGGCCCUAAGCAACUUAGUGAGACCCUAUCUCAA